UGAUGUCUCAGGGUUUGGACUAUGGAGAA
rnacentral:piRNA from 1 species